AUGUACCACGCGUCCACGCCGGUCCCUCCGCGCCAUCCGCACCCGCCUGGCGGCGCUCGCUACGUUUUUUAGCC
rnacentral:sRNA from 1 species